rnacentral:piRNA from 1 species
UAUGGAUGAUGAAGAAGGAGAGG